AAUUUGGGGCCAUUUUGGGGCCAUUUUAGGGCAUUUUGGGGCCAUUUUGAGGCCAUUUUGGGGUCAUUUGGGGCCAUUUUGGGGUCAUUUUGGGGCCACCUUGUGUCUUUAUUUGGGAUUUGUGGGGCCAUUUUGGGGCCAUUUUUGAUCAUUUCGGGGUCAUUUUGGGGUCAUUUGGGGCCAUUUGGGGGCCGUAUUUGGGGCCAUUUUUGAUCAUUUUGGGGCCAUUUUUCAUCAUUUUAGGGCCAUUUUGGGGCCAUUUUGAGGCCAUUUUGGGGCCAUUUUUGAUCAUUUUGGGGGUCAUUUGGGGCCAUUUUGGGGUCAUUUGGGGGCCAUUUUGUGCCUUUAUUUGGGAUUUGUGGGGUCAUUUGGGGGCCAUUUUUGAUCAUUUCGGGGUCAUUUUGGGGCCAUUUUAGGGCAUUUGGGGUCAUUUUGGGGUCAUUUGCGGCCAUUUUGACACCAUUUAAUCCCAUUUAGUGCCAUUUAGGGCCA
rnacentral:lncRNA from 1 species